GGAUCCAGACUUUGAUUCUGGCUCAGAUUGAACGCUGGCGGCAGGCCUAACACAUGCAAGUCGAGCGGAAACGGCAACCAUUGACUCUUCGGAUGAUUUGUUGGACGUCGAGCGGCGGACGGGUGAGUAAUGCUUAGGAAUUUGCCCAGUCGAGGGGGAUAACUAUUGGAAACGAUAGCUAAUACCGCAUACGCCCUACGGGGGAAAAGAGGGGACCUUCGGGGCCUUCUGCGAUUGGAUAAGCCUAAGUGAGAUUAGCUAGUUGGUGAGGUAAUGGCUCACCAAGGCGACGAUCUCUAGCUGGUCUGAGAGGAUGAUCAGCCACACUGGAACUGAGACACGGUCCAGACUCCUACGGGAGGCAGCAGUGGGGAAUAUUGCACAAUGGGCGCAAGCCUGAUGCAGCCAUGCCGCGUGUGUGAAGAAGGCCUUCGGGUUGUAAAGCACUUUCAGCAGUGAGGAAGGUAGUAGUGUUAAUAGCACUAUUAUAUGACGUUAGCUGCAGAAGAAGCACCGGCUAACUCCGUGCCAGCAGCCGCGGUAAU
rnacentral:rRNA from 1 species